GGCACAGAGCAGUGCAAGGAACCUCUAGGAUGAGCUGUAUGGAAGGGGCGCCUCCUGGGCUGGCCAUGCCCUUGGCACUUUGGCCCCUCCCAUCCAAGCCCUGCCCCUUUCCGGCUCUGGGAGCCCAUCCUGAGGGGCCCAGUGGACAAGGCCUUUUGCCCCUGGCCGACCCUCUGCAUCCUGCGGCAGCAUCGGGCAAUGGAGCCGGGCGAGCGUGAGGUUGCCCUCUCUGCCUUCCCAGUCAGCACCCCCCACUUCCAGGCUGCCCCAGGUCCCAGGGCCUUCUGCGUCCCAAGGAUCAUCUUGACAGAGUGUGCCCCCAACCCUCCCUCCCCGCCAGAGGCCAGACUUGAGGAACUGGGACCCAGGACAGAUCCCACCCCAAGACCUCAGACCCUGGCUGACAGCACGAGGGGCUGGGAUGGUCCACAGGCCCCACCAGGGGUAGUGGGG
rnacentral:sRNA from 1 species